GAUGAACGCUGGCGGCGCGCCUAAUACAUGCGAGUCGAGCGAACGGACGAGAAGCUUGCUUCUCUGAUGUUAGCGGCGGACGGGUGAGUAACACGUGGAUAACCUACCUAUAAGACUGGGAUAACUUCGGGAAACCGGAGCUAAUACCGGAUAAUAUUUUGAACCGCAUGGUUCAAAAGUGAAAGACGGUCUUGCUGUCACUUAUAGAUGGAUCCGCGCUGCAUUAGCUAGUUGGUAAGGUAACGGCUUACCAAGGCAACGAUGCAUAGCCGACCUGAGAGGGUGAUCGGCCACACUGGAACUGAGACACGGUCCAGACUCCUACGGGAGGCAGCAGUAGGGAAUCUUCCGCAAUGGGCGAAAGCCUGACGGAGCAACGCCGCGUGAGUGAUGAAGGUCUUCGGAUCGUAAAACUCUGUUAUUAGGGAAGAACAUAUGUGUAAGUAACUGUGCACAUCUUGACGGUACCUAAUCAGAAAGCCACGGCUAACUACGUGCCAGCAGCCGCGGUAAUACGUAGGUGGCAAGCGUUAUCCGGAAUUAUUGGGCGUAAAGCGCGCGUAGGCGGUUUUUUAAGUCUGAUGUGAAAGCCCACGGCUCAACCGUGGAGGGUCAUUGGAAACUGGAAAACUUGAGUGCAGAAGGGGAAAGUGGAAUUCCAUGUGUAGCGGUGAAAUGCGCAGAGAUAUGGAGGAACACCAGUGGCGAAGGCGACUUUCUGGUCUGUAACUGACGCUGAUGUGCGAAAGCGUGGGGAUCAAACAGGAUUAGAUACCCUGGUAGUCCACGCCGUAAACGAUGAGUGCUAAGUGUUAGGGGGUUUCCGCCCCUUAGUGCUGCAGCUAACGCAUUAAGCACUCCGCCUGGGGAGUACGACCGCAAGGUUGAAACUCAAAGGAAUUGACGGGGACCCGCACAAGCGGUGGAGCAUGUGGUUUAAUUCGAAGCAACGCGAAGAACCUUACCAAAUCUUGACAUCCUUUGACAACUCUAGAGAUAGAGCUUUCCCCUUCGGGGGACAAAGUGACAGGUGGUGCAUGGUUGUCGUCAGCUCGUGUCGUGAGAUGUUGGGUUAAGUCCCGCAACGAGCGCAACCCUUAAGCUUAGUUGCCAUCAUUAAGUUGGGCACUCUAAGUUGACUGCCGGUGACAAACCGGAGGAAGGUGGGGAUGACGUCAAAUCAUCAUGCCCCUUAUGAUUUGGGCUACACACGUGCUACAAUGGACAAUACAAAGGGCAGCGAAACCGUGAGGUCAAGCAAAUCCCAUAAAGUUGUUCUCAGUUCGGAUUGUAGUCUGCAACUCGACUACAUGAAGCUGGAAUCGCUAGUAAUCGUAGAUCAGCAUGCUACGGUGAAUACGUUCCCGGGUCU
rnacentral:rRNA from 1 species